UUGGAGGGCAGUCUGGUGCAGCAGCCGCGGUAAUUCCAGCUCCAAUAGCGUAUAUUAAGUUGUUGCAGUUAAAAAGCUCGUAGUUGAAUUUCGGGAUCAGAUUGUCGGUCGUGCCUCGGUACGCACUGGUAUUAUUGGUUCCUACCUUCUGAAGAACCGCGAUGUCAUUAAUUUGGUGUCGUGGGGAAUCAGGACUGUUACUUUGAAAAAAUUAGAGUGUUUAAAGCAGGCUUACGCUUGAAUACAUUAGCAUGGAAUAAUGAAAUAGGACGUUUGAUUCUAUUUUGUUGGUUUCUAGGAUUGACGUAAUGAUUAAUAGGGAUAGUUGGGGGCAUUAGUAUUCAAUUGUCAGAGGUGAAAUUCUUGGAUUUAUUGAAGACUAACUACUGCGAAAGCAUUUGCCAAGGAUGUUUUCAUUAAUCAAGAACGAAAGUUAGGGGAUCGAAGACGAUCAGAUACCGUCGUAGUCUUAACCAUAAACUAUGCCGACUAGGGAUCGGAUGAUGUUAAUUUUUUAAUGACUCAUUCGGCGCCUUACGGGAAAC
rnacentral:rRNA from 1 species